GAAAGUUCUAAAGCAUUAUAUAACCAAUUGUGCUCUGUAUAUUACAUGAAAUAGUAAUUUCCUCAUCUCUUAUAUGAAAGCAUAUUGAGUUCCAAUUCAGAUCCAUUUACAGCAAGUGAAUCAUAGCUAUCUUUUGUGUUUAAGUCUAAAUGAAUGGGAGCUUCAACCUUGUGCUUCAAAUCUUUAAUUUCUUCUACCUCUCCCUGUUUGCUAAUAUAGAAAGCCCAAGGGUUUGCAUUAUUAUUAUAAAUAUCAAUGAUGUUUUCUUUUCUUCCUUCUUCAUUCAUACUUUGAAUGAGAGUAGAUACAGCCAAAUCCAGAUUACCAUUGCCUUUCAUAUGAUCAAGAGAGAGGCUUUUCUGGGCUUUUUCUAAUAUUACUUGCAAGUACUUCCCUUGUGCUUCUAUCCUCAUCUGUAGUUUCUUUUGUACCUCAAGUUGUUCUUCUAAUCUCUUUUGUGCUUCAAUUUGGGACUUCAAUGCCUCUGGGAUUUCUCCUUGGCAUUGUUGAUUGUCAAUUGCAGAUGAACUGGUACUUACUCCUGAGGAGCGAUUGCUGAAAUUUACGUAGGAACCCCCACUCUCUUUACUCUGCUGUUUAGCAGUUUGUUUCCUUGCUUGCUGUUGUCCCAGCCUGUAUUUCUGCAGAUGGCUCUUCAAAUGGUACAGUGUCAAACCCUUUAAUCCCAUCAACCUCAAUACUGACUUUGGAGUUGCUUUGUCAGGUCCACCGAGUUUGGUAACAGCAUCAACAAAUCGAUGAUGGAGAUCAGUAGUCCAUCGAAGCCUUGGCUUUGGAUCUCUGGUCAUCAAUACUCCAUUCUCGUACGGAUAAUUGCCACCGAAUACUCCUCUCUCCAUACCUACAACUUCAUUAAAACCUUUCGGCUUCAAUCCUUUAUAUGCAGAGCUGAGUCACUGAGUCGAAUGCCCA
rnacentral:misc_RNA from 1 species